rnacentral:rRNA from 1 species
AGAGUUUGAUCCUGGCUCAGGACGAACGCUGGCGGCGUGCUUAACACAUGCAAGUCGAGCGGUAAGGCCCCUUCGGGGGUACACGAGCGGCGAACGGGUGAGUAACACGUGAGCAACCUACCCUCAACUUCGGGAUAAGCCUCGGAAACGGGGUCUAAUACCGGAUAUCAUCACAGGCUUCAUGGUUUGUGGUUGAAAGUUCUGGCGGUUGGGGAUGGGCUCGCGGCCUAUCAGCUUGUUGGUGGGGUAAUGGCCUACCAAGGCGUCGACGGGUAGCCGGCCUGAGAGGGCGACCGGCCACACUGGGACUGAGACACGGCCCAGACUCCUACGGGAGGCAGCAGUGGGGAAUAUUGCGCAAUGGACGAAAGUCUGACGCAGCAACGCCGCGUGAGGGAUGACGGCCUUCGGGUUGUAAACCUCUUUCAGCAGGGACGAAGCGAGAAUGACG